CCCGGGAAUGUGAUGUCCAUUUCUCAUUCUCGCCCACAUCUUUUCUUUGCACGCAGACACGGUGCGGAAAACCCACCUGUAGUUUCGCUUCACUCCUUUUGUUUUGUCGCCAAAAGCACCCCCAAACAAUAAAUCUCUGUGGGUUUGAAAAAGCUCACCCAUCAGUGUUCCAAUUUAGGAAAACAUGCACAAGUUCAAUGCGUGCUGCAACUGUUACUGUCUCAGAAGGGUUUUUUCAGGCUUUAAGUUUUAGGGUUUGUGAGAAUGUUGGUUCUUGGUAUGAAUUCAAAAAGACAGAGGCGGCCAAAUGUUAGGUUGGGGGAGAUUGGAGAUGUUUCUGCAGCUUUUGCAUCUGGCUCUUCCCAGAAAACUCACAAGAGAUGGAAACAUGACCUUGUGAACCCUAUGGAAACUGAGUGUAACUCUGGUUAUGGGUUUUCAGAUCCUGGAGUCUCUCCUAGGGUUACAGCUGAUUUACAGCAGAACAGAGAGAAUAAGAACCCUAACUCUUCCAAAUCAGGUUUUGAGUUAGUCAGCUCAGACGAAAUUGAUAUGACUAAGUCUGAACUGAAUUUUGGGAAGAUAACCCGGAAAUGUCGGCUGAUGAAGCGACGAGUAAGGAGCACUGGAGGUAACAAUAGUGUUUUUGGUAGUGUUUGGGGUUCUAAACUUAGUCCUGAAUUCAGUAGUGAAGAUGGGAAGGAAUAUGGAGGGAAGGAGUUUGCUGGAUUCACAUUGAAUGAGUUCUCUGAUCUUGACCCCAUUGAUGGUUUUAAGAGCUAUUCAGAUCAUGAAACUUCAGGUAUGAGCAAAGAAGCUUGCGAGAAUGAUAUGGAUGAACCCAAUUUGCCCCAACACAAUCCUAGUGAGUCUUGGAAGGAAGAUGCUUGGUAUGAAGUGAAUAACGGCUUUCCUAAAUCUAGUGGUGAAUGUGAUAAGAUGACAAUUGGAGGCAGUAAUGUAAAUAGUGUUAGGGGAUGGUUGGAAGAUAUAGGGUUUGGUAAGUAUGCCGGUGUUUUUGAAAUGCACGAGGUGGAUGAGGAAGCUUUGCCAUUACUUACUUUUGAAGACCUCAAAGAGAUGGGUGUUCUUUCUAUUGGGCCUCGUCGGAAGUUGUACACUGCAAUUCAGCAAUUAAAGGAAGGAGGAGGGGGAAUUUCUGCUUGACAAAUUAAUGAACAGAACAUAUAGGUGGAUUAACCUCUUCUCUUUUGUGGUCCAGUGAUGAGUCUGUUGCCAUAUAAUUGUCAGUUAAGACCGCUUGAUUUUGCAACAAGGAAAGCUGCUUUUGUUAGCAUAUUCCUUUAUGAUGGCAGUUGAUAUUUAUACAAAUUAGAUUUUUUAUUUAUUUAUACCUGCUAUUGGAUCAAUGGGGGCUCAUUCUUCUUGAAUUCUUGCUGUCUGUGAACAAAUGGAUCAGUUAGCAGCUUGCUAGUCAGUAAAAAUAUUGAACACAUCAAUUGCUAAUCAGUAAUGAGGCCUCUCUGGUGGUCCUAAUAAGAGUCCGAAUGACAUUGUCCUGCUAUGUUGCAAUAUGUCUUACUGGUACCUUAGAGGAAAACCUAUGAGUUCCGAUUCUCAGUCUGGUAGAAGGUCUCAUAUCUUUCUGUUAUCCUUUUUCUGUCCUAAAUCAGUUGUCAUCCCUUAUAAGAAGGUUUCAUACUGAUAAAGUGAUGUGGUUCCAUGUAUCACAAUAAAAUUUGUUCUUUAACAAAAUUUUAGGUUUCCUACUACACUGUGCUAGCUUGAUGGGUGUCCUCACUUAAGCAGCCAAUGACGUUUUUCAAUUAUGUGUUUUACAAUCAAAAUUAAUAUUAAUAAAAAACUCAAAACACUUAAGCAAGAAGCAACAAAUAUGUAGAUUUUAAUGGGGUGUACAAACUUAACAUGCAAUGCAAAAUGGACACAAGAGUGCUGUUCAAUGCAUAUCUCAGUAUGGCAUUUUUAAUGUUUAAAAGUGUUCUUAAAAUACUCAAAUGAGUAAAGUUCUUCUUAUAGGUGCCUCUUCCAUUACCAUUGCAUCAAUUUCAUAUCCAUAGUAGUACGCCUAUAUCCUGACCCAUUUGUGGUUUUGCCCCCAUAUCAGAGUUUGGUAUGGAGGGAUGCUCUAAGUUGUGGACAGAGAACACUCUUUUUUCUCCUUCAAGACUCAAAAUUAAUUUUAGUGUUACUGUGUUAGACUUCCUCUAUUGGUUAUAUAUAGACAAGGCUUUCAUUUUUGAUCCAUGGUGGUAGCUAUAUGUUGGGGAGGAUACUCUUUUUAUUUUAUUUUCUAUAUAUAAAGACUUUUUAUGAAUGUUGGGGUAUUUACUCAUUUAAACCUCCUCUGCUGGUUGUAUAGGUAUAGGGUUUGUGUUUUUGAUCCUUGGUCUAGUGGCCAGUGGCCUUGAGUUUCCUCAACGAACUUUGGUUUUAAGAGCUGUUAUAAACAUUUAUGGUGGUCUAUGCUGUCCUCUAUGACCUCAUGGUAUGCACACACUGUAAACUUUCUGUAAAAUCAGUGCAGUUAUGUUACAUGUCUGUUUGGGGAAGUGAAUUAGAGAGUUAGAUUAGAAGAUUUGAAUUACUCUCUGUAUUAUUGGGUUUUUGGGGUUGGAGAUAUUUAAAAGAUUGAAGUUCUUGGAUUCUUGGAUAUUCAUUUUCUUCUUGUAAUUUUGUUUCUUGAAUAUUUUCUGCAUACCCUGUACAUGCAGGGGGAUUGCCCUUUCUUAUUUCUCUUUCUGUUCGAUAGAAUUCAUCUAUUGCAACUUGCUGGAUGCUCCUCAUCUUCUAAGCAAAGUAGAUGAGGAGAUCCUGUCAAAGAACUGUGUUCAUAAAUUGAUGACUUUCUUGGAGGAUGGGGCAUCAGCUACACAGCAGCUUUCGUUCAAGUGAAUGUUUGAUCUAAUACAGCAUGAAAUCAAGAAUAUGAGCUGAUGAUACUUGGCCUAAACCCUGUAUUUGUUAUGAUUGGUAAUCAAAGGAACAAGGCAAUUUAUUCUCCUGUAAUCAAAAUUUCGGUAUAUAGGAAAGACGCCCAAAUUCAACAAGUCUUGGGUUGCUUACAACUUGUUACCAAAACGCUCAUUCGAAUGUGAUUGUUCAAAAGCAGGCUGUUCAUUACGCCUUCCAAAA